rnacentral:pre_miRNA from 1 species
AGAGCAAUUGCUGGACCAUAUGGUGAGAGUAUUUUUAGGGUAUAAGAAACUGCCAAACUUUCUUCCAAAGUAAAUGUGCCCUUAUGCAUUCCCACCAGCAAA